ensembl:lncRNA
AGCAGAUUCCACCUGGGCAUGAAGGCCAAGUCUCCCUUCAUAUGCCCUCCUUUAGCUCUUCCGUUUGCCUUCUGCCAGAUCCUUAGACCAGCCAGAAGAACCUGGCAGGGUAGACGAGAAACUCUUGCUCCCCUACAAUUCCAGUUAGGGGUCUGAGCCCUGCUCCUCGCAGGAUGCUUUCGAUACAAAAGGCGAAGUGUUGCUAGAGAAGACAGGAGAGGAUGGACAUGGGCCCUUUGGACCUGUGGACAUGGGUUUUACAGAGGAGAAAAAUAACACGUAACAUGGAAAUGUAACACACGCUUCAAAAGUACAUGUCACCCCUUGUGUCCAUCACAGGAACUCAGCUGUGUUUCUCUCUGUCCCACGGCAGUUUAUACACCUGCAUCAGCUGCUCAUCUGGGUCACAUCACAGCCACCACCAGCGGCUUUGGGACCAGAUGGCUCUGGGUGGCAUCCCAACUCUGUCGCCCACCAGCUGUGCGCCCCAGGCUAGCCUCCUGGGCUCAGUGUCCUCGCCUGUAAAGAGAAGAUGACACACCUCACAGGGAGGGGGCGCUGUCACCGGUGGGAUGUGCUCUUCAACAGCCAGUAUUUGUCUUUCAAACUUUAAACUUUUGAUUUUGCAUUUUGUAUUGGAGUAUAACCAACUAACAAUGUUGUGGCAGUUUCCAAUGAACAGCAAAGGGACUCAGCCAUACAUAGACAUGUGUCCCUUCUUCCCCAAACCCCUCUCCCAUCCAGGCUGCACACAUAGUUGAGUAGAGUUCCCUGUGUUAUCCAAUAGGUCCUUGUUGGUUAUCCAUUUUGAAUAUAGCAGUG